CGGGUGAGUAACACGUGGAUAACCUACCUAUAAGACUGGGAUAACUUCGGGAAACCGGAGCUAAUACCGGAUAAUAUUUUGAACCGCAUGGUUCAAAAGUGAAAGACGGUCUUGCUGUCACUUAUAGAUGGAUCCGCGCUGCAUUAGCUAGUUGGUAAGGUAACGGCUUACCAAGGCAACGAUGCAUAGCCGACCUGAGAGGGUGAUCGGCCAUACUGGAACUGAGACACGGUCCAG
rnacentral:rRNA from 1 species